UGCCUGGAGUGAAGAUUCUGCCCAUUGGUCAAGAGACCUCCCUCUCAGAUGCUGGCUCUGCCCCUGCCUUUGGGGGUCGACCCUUGUACUCGCAGGACCUUAGGUGACUCUAUUCUACUUCUCUGAUCAUCCAGGAAGCCAACCUGCCUGAGGACGAGUCAUACUCUGUCCUCCCACCCCAGGCCAGAGAGUGGUAUCUGUCUUUCCACAAGUUCAAAGGAAGAAGAGCUUUAGAAAAAUCAGAGUAAUAUGAUCAGAUCGCCCCACCAGUGGCUCAACAAUCUGUCCUCGUGUACACUUUGAAGAAAGCACAGGUGGUGAAGUGUCUCAUUUCAAGUUGUUGUGGUUUUCUGCCAUGGAGGAAAGUGUUGAAAAAAAAGGGAACUAUACAGCAUAAAGAUGGGUUUUCACAGAUCCUGUCAAGGCUGGGCGACGAGCUGGAAACUCCAUCUCAAAACAAUAACAACAAAAGAAACAGGCCCGGGCAGCGUCUGCCGGCAGUGUCAUCAAGAAGACAGCAUGUGGCUGUGGCAGAGGCCUAUCAAGGUUCUAAUUCCAGUCCCACAUUUUCUGACUGUAAGAUCCUAAGU
rnacentral:lncRNA from 10 species